rnacentral:rRNA from 1 species
AUACGGAGGGUGCAAGCGUUGUUCGGAAUCACUGGGCGUAAAGGGCGCGCAGGCGGUUUGGUAAGUCAGAUGUGAAAGCCCACGGCUCAACCGUGGCAGUGCAUUUGAAACUGUCAGACUGGAGUACUAGAGGGGAAAGUGGAAUUCCCGGUGUAGAGGUGAAAUUCGUAGAUAUCGGGAGGAAUACCGGUGGCGAAGGCGACUUUCUGGCUAGAUACUGACGCUGAGGCGCGAAAGCGUGGGGAGCAAACAGGAUUAGAAACCCUAGUAGUCC